GGGGGAUUAGCUCAGCUGGGAGAGCGCUUGAAUGGCAUUCAAGAGGUCAGCGGUUCGAUCCCGCUAUUCUCCACCA
rnacentral:tRNA from 3 species